UUUUGGGAAAAUUGACAAGUUGGUUUUAAAAUAUAUGUGGAAAUGACAAGGACCAAGAAUACUCAAGUUACGAAGACUGAGAAGUCCAAGAACAAGGCGCCAGCAGGCUGGCUGUCUGAGAUACUGGAGAAACACAAGGCCCUGCAGCGGAACUUACGUAGCCUACACUGCAGACACGAAAGUAAAGGGUGAAAUUACCACUGAAGAAAUUGUGUGUGUAACAUCAGAGAUUUCAUUAAACCUGGAGGUUGAAUUCAUUUCGGAGUUCAAUGAUAUGUCCAAAGAAUCAGGUACUAUAAUCGUAUAGACAACUCCUGUAAUAUAUCCACAGUGCAAAAUUAUCCCCGUUUCCUGUCAUUCCCUAGUGAGAAAAAUCCAACUGCAGACUUGACUGCCUUCGGUGAAGGCACACGGCAAAUUCUUCUGAAAAAUAAUACCCUUCAAGAUUGACUCUUCCCGUUUUACACAGCAAUUGUCUCAGCUUGGGACCAAAGUAUUUACAAAGCAAGCAAACAACAGACUAGCGAACAGGGACACUUCUGAAGCUGGUGAUGCAGAAAUCCACUGCCAAGCAGGGUGGGGGGCCAGUCACCUCUCCUGGAAUGUUCCAUAUGUAAGCUGACACAACUUAACAUCUUAAAUACAGAAUUCCAAUCAAAAGAAAAGCAAACAAAAGACAAAAAAAAAAAACAGCAGUCAAGCAUAAGCAGUGUUACUUCCUCUCUGAACAGGGAAGCAUCUUGCUCACUGGGAGAUAAAGGGUGAACCUCUUAUCUGCUGCUGUCUCCUCGCAAAUGCCAGCAAGAAGCUGGGUGUGGUGAUGAAGAAAGAUGGCAGUCAUCACCAAGACCCCACAAGCCAAGCCAUGGUCCCCUCCCUGAGGGCACAGUCCUUUCAUGAAGCCAUAAAAGACUGAGACCUCAGCUCAGACCUGAGCACUCAGGGUUACCUACUGGGGUCGUGUAAUAUUCCUGAUGUGAUUUCUGCCAAAACCCAAACUGGUUCUUUGUUUUUUGUUUUUUGUUUUUUUUCUGUUUGUUUGUUUGUUUUUGAGACAGAGUCUCACUCUAUUGGCCAGGCUGAAGUGUAGUGGCAUGAUCUCGGCUCACUGCAACCUCCACCUCCUGGGUUCAAGUGAUUCUUCUGCCUCAGCCUCCCAAGUAGCUAGGACUACAGGCAUGUGCCACCAUGCCCAGCUAAUUUUUGCAUCUUUUUAGUAGAGACAGAUUUCACCACAUUGGCCAGGCUGGUCUCUAGUGAUGCACCUGCCUCAGCCUCCCGAAGGGCUGGGAUUACAGGGUUGAACCACCGCACCCAGCCCUAAACUGACUCUUGACCAAAGAAUCUGAUUUGGCAAACCAAAUCUUAGUGCAGUGUUCGCUCCUCCUCUCCUUACCCAGAACAUGAUUCAGAUCCUAACAUAAACACAAAACAGGUCAGGGAACCAAAACGCCGUGGUCUUGUCUAUUAUGCAAAACAUUGAGAUAAUGUUCAUGAUUCAUUCUGUUUUCAGCAAUUGUGUCCAUUUUGAAGCUUCUCUCGAAGCUUUGAAACACUGCAUUGUUUCCUACUAAAUACCCAAAUGUGUCACACAGGCAUCACCAGUGGGAAUUUUGUUUUUAAACAUUUAGAAAUAAAACAGUUUUUGACCCAUAAGCCAGUCCUAACGCAUAGGGUAAUGGGGAUCGAGGCUAAACACACACACAACUACAAAAUAUUCCCUAGAAAAAUGCAACAUCCUCAGAAAAUCAAGAUCUCCCUACCAAACAACCUACCAAGUCAUCACUGAAGAGGUGAAGACUCCUCUCAAAAGAUAAGUGCCAUAGAAAUAGAGCUUGAAAUACUGAACAUGAUUUCUCGAAGAUCCUUUUUGUUACCCCAAGAGAAGUGGAGGCAGAGGAGAGAGAGAGAGCAGUUUCCCUUUCCUCUGGAUCCAGCCGGAUGCCAACUCUGACAUGCAGGGCAGAGCACCAGGCUGCAAGGCUGCAAGAAUUGGAUGCUAAUUGCAAUCGCUUUUCACUUUGGAACCUUUGCCAGGAACUUCAAACUAUUAAGGGGAUGACUGGGAAACGGGAUCCAUCUCUGUGGCUGGGGAUGUUUUUGAAUGAUUCUCACAGGCUCCUUGUCUGCUCAGUGACCCUGUUGGUCCUAUGCAUAUCUCAGCCGGGGAAUUAAAAUGGCCAGUCUGACGUUCUCAAGCACCGCCCUGGACACCCCCACUGCCAGCCCAUGGUCUACAGCCACAGCGAUCCCAGCUUUCCAGACAGGGUCCUGAAUGUUAUCUGGAAUGCAGACACAAGUGUUUUGAGAUACACCGUUUGGGGAAUAAUUCCACAUGGAAAGGUACAACGUGGCCAAGAUCUCGGCAGGGACCCGGCCCUCAGAUGACAGUCUCCAGAAAGAAAGAGCAUGAGACACCAGUGUCUGUUUAGGUUUGCCCAGAGCCCACAGCCGUCUGUGCUGCAGGCAACGCAUCCUCCUGUGGCUCAUGGGGCGCCAGGAACCCCGGUGCUUCUGAUGAAGAGUUACACACCAUUCCCUCGGCUGGGUUGUACAUUCACUGGAUGUCAGAAGUUUCUGAAACUGCUGUGGGGGCAGGGGAAGCCGUCGCAGAACAGUCUGGUCCUGUCCUCUGGACUCUACAAGUCAUAGUGGUUCAAACUAAGAGUUUGGGUAGCUCUGCCAGCUGUACUGGAAGUGGUCUGUUAAGAUAUUGUUGC
rnacentral:lncRNA from 1 species